AGCCCCAAUACGGGGUGAGGAGGCUGAGAGUGUGGAGUUCCUCUGGCCCACAGGCCUGGCAUUCCCAGGGCUCCAGAAACUUGUCAAAGCAGGCCGUCUGGCUUCAGAGCCCUCCUUACUGAUCCUAAAACCAAUCUGUCCUUUGACCAGGUCCACAUAGCAAGACCCAGGAAAUGGGCUACCAAAAUCAGAGAGGGGGAGGGACAGUUUUCCCCAUCACACAUGGACAGGCUGAUACUCCUUGACAGUCAUACUGUGCAUACGCAGAAUUGCCUCUCUUUCUUCCAGCUCAUCCCCUAUGAUGACAUGAAAUAUUAAUUAAAUAAAUUGAAAGCCUUAGCUUUCAUCUUAAAGGAGACAAGAGAUGGUUUGUUCUGUAGCCAGACAGUAGUUUCCAUGGUUCCAGGGCACAGAAUCAGGUUCAUUUUAAAUUCCACCAUCCAAUAAUUUGCCAUGGAAUGCCAAUAAUUUCAUGACGUCUUUAUAGUAACAGAACAAAGGGAGCCAUAGAUCAACACACUAUUCCGAUACAUUGGUGGGAGACAUCAGGAAGUCAGGACUGUGUUACAAGCCUCAGAUGCCAUCUCAUGACAUGAGGAGCUUGGGUUGGUCAAAGAUGGUGGCAAGAUGUUGCAUGUGACAGUCACAAGACGUUAAAUCAGACAAGGAAGUGGGUGACGAAGGCUGUUAAGGUAGCUAAAGCACAGCCCAAGAUAAACUGUGAUAAGGCUGUGGACCUCCUGCACCAUUCCAACCUCUCUGCACUCGGUGAAAUUUCAAGCAGUCAGCCUGCUGUCGGCCGAUUGUAGGAUGUCGGGGUUGAGUUAGGAACUUUUGGUUCACACCACUGGUCUUCAUUGUCCUGCCACAGGUAGAAAUGGCCAAUGGGCAUAGAUCUGAGCCAUUCUGGGAAGACUCACAUUUGUUUCUGAAUAAACAAAGUUGACACAGUAAACUAAAUGGCUUUCUCUUUCCAGGUCCUAAAUCCCUAGCUAGCCUAAGACUUAGCUAGGAACGAUUCAAAUGGAUUCCUUUCGCUUUAAGGAUUUUCAGAGACCAGAGAGCUUUGCUGUGCUGACUUUGAACUCCCAGGCUCAACUGACCCUUGUGCUUCAGCCUCCCACACAGCUGGAGAGUAUCUACCAUGUCGAGCUGAUAUCUUUGUACUUUCUCAUUUCAAGAUUCUCACUGAGCGGCCUUUUUGUGUGCCUACUGAAGCCUUGUCUAUCUCUGCCAAGGAUGGAAAGUUGCACGAUCCCCCUUGACCUUGAAGAUCAACGGGUGAAUGUGCAAUCCCAACAGGACCUUGCCUUCUAGCAUCUUCCAUGGCUCUCAUUGAUACCCUUAUCCUAGGUAUCUGCAAGCCAGCCUCUCAAUUAGAAGCCAUGCUGAGGUGAGGUUUGCAUCUAUGAUGGGCUGGCUUCGUGGCUGUGGAUCUGUGGCAAGGCAAAGUCAUGGCAAAAGCCCACGUAGGCCAAAGCUGCUUCCCUCGUGGCGUCCAGGAAGCAGAGAGAAUAGAGGGGCCAAGAGCAAGACACAGCUCCCAAGAGCACACCCUGCCAACGAGACCCAACCUCACAGGGAAGAAAGAGCAGAAUGAAAAUACCACCCUGCGGCACCCACGGUGACAGAGUCCACGGGGACUUUGAUGUUAGAGACAAGCAGAGUUAAGAAAGGCCAGGUCACGUCUCACCUGCUGCUAACGUUCUACUGGGGCUCUCUGACCCUCUGUAUAGCGAUGAUCACCAGGACUCAUCAGAAGCCGCCAACAGAAGACCGCCUUCACCUUGUCCUUUGUUCUAAGCAUCCCUGGCCCUUCCUGCCAGGGACCAUCUCUGUGACAUGGUUCUCUAUGGCACCCCAAACUCCUGCUGGUCACUCAGAUUCCAAUCCCAUGCCCCGGUGACACAAAUUGCACACUUCAGCCAGCACCGCCUACAAAAUUAUCAGGGGAAGCGGAGGAACAAUGAAUCCCUAACGUCCGUGGGAACAUAGCUCUAAAGCAGAGACUUGUGUACCCCAGCAUCUUCACUCGCCCCAUUAUUUUAACUACGCAUGUGGCUAUCCCAAACACUACUGUUUCCAGCUUCUUAUGCAGUUGAACAUAAUAAGAGCACAUGUCUGCCUCUGGCCAAUAAAUUAUAAAUGAAAACAGAAGAGAAACAC
rnacentral:lncRNA from 1 species